rnacentral:lncRNA from 1 species
AAGACAUUCUCUCUGUUCAUGUAGAAUUCAGGUGGCCAUCUAUUCGGUUAUCUGCUCCAAAAACAAGUCAUUCAACGUAUCUAGCAGUAAACAGCAAAUAUACUGAAACUAGCCUGUCUUACAAGGAGUACAUAUUCAGCAGGUCAUGCAGGUACUGGAUCUUUACCAGUGUCUGUAAGUGAAUCUGAAACUGUUUAGAAGGAUCCCAGAAUUUGAGAACUGUGUAGUAGGACCUGGAAUCUGGGAUCUAAAGAUGCUAGGACAACUAACGAAGGCUAAGCCAAAGGCAAGUAAUGAUUCCAGAUAAUUAAUGAAAUUAAGAAACGUAAACUUCUGGGAUAGAAGGCAUUUCUAAAUACUUGUGUUUUAAAAUAUAUUCCU